UACAGAGGUCUCAAGCGUUGUUCGGAUUCAUUGGGCGUAAAGGGUGCGUAGGUGGCAUGGUAAGUCGGAUGUGAAAUCCCGGGGCUCAACCCCGGAACUGCAUUCGAUACUGCUGCGCUAGAGUACUGGAGAGGAGAUUGGAAUUUACGGUGGUAGCAGUGAAAUGCGUAGAUAUCGUAAGGAAGACCAGUGGCGAAGGCGGAUCUCUGGACAGUUACUGACACUGAGGCACGAAGGCCAGGGGAGGCAAACGGG
rnacentral:rRNA from 1 species